rnacentral:rRNA from 1 species
AUGCACGUGCUGCCGUCAGCCAAUCUCUCUACCGCGCGCCACCGCUGCCAACGCGUGCUGCCGGCGGUGCUGCUGCUCUUCCUGCUUGCCGCUUGCGCUGCUGCUUGCUUCCUUGAUAGCCGACGCUGCUGCUGCUGCUUGCUUCCUCGCAAGCUGGCGCUGCUGCUACUGCUUGCUUGGUUGGUUGCCGGCCAGCGCUGCUUGUUUGCUUGGCCGCGAAUCCAAGCACACGACAGCCACCAUGAGAGGAGGGAGACAGCAGGACUUGACCACGCCGACGAGUGCCCGGAGCGGCGCGACGGGCCGGAGGUGUCGCAUCUCUUGUGGGGCCACUGGUUCACGGAGAGCUCGACAAGUAAACGGCGAUGCUAG